rnacentral:tRNA from 1 species
GGGAAUGUGGCUCAAUGGUAGAGUGCUUGCUUAGCAUGCAUGAAGCCCUGGGUUCGAUUUCUCAGUAUCUUA